GAGUUUGAUCAUGGCUCAGGAUGAACGCUGGCGGCGUGCUUAACACAUGCAAGUCGAACGAUGAAGGGAAGCUUGCUUUCUGGAUUAGUGGCGAACGGGUGAGUAACACGUGAGUAACCUGCCCUUGACUCUGGGAUAAGCACUGGAAACGGUGUCUAAUACCGGAUACGAACUUCAGUCGCAUGGCUAGGAGUUGGAAAGAAUUUCGGUCAAGGAUGGACUCGCGGCCUAUCAGCUAGUUGGUGAGGUAAUGGCUCACCAAGGCGACGGCGGGUAGCCGGCCUGAGAGGGUGACCGGCCACACUGGGACUGAGACACGGCCCAGACUCCUACGGGAGGCAGCAGUGGGGAAUAUUGCACAAUGGGCGCAAGCCUGAUGCAGCAACGCCGCGUGAGGGAUGACGGCCUCGGUUG
rnacentral:rRNA from 1 species